CAGCCGCCGCGGUAAUACAGAGGGUGCGAGCGUUAAUCGGAAUUACUGGGCGUAAAGCGCGCGUAGACGGUUUGGUAAGUCAGAUGUGAAAUCCCUGGGCUCAACCUGGGAACUGCAUUUGAUACUGCCUGGCUAGAGUAUCGAAGAGGGAAGUGGAAUUUCCGGUGUAGCGGUGAAAUGCGUAGAUAUCGGAAGGAACACCAGUGGCGAAAGCGACUUCCUGGUCGAAUACUGACGUUCAUGUGCGAAAGCGUGGGGAGCAAACAGGAUUAGAUACCCCCGUAGUCCCUGUCUCUUAUAC
rnacentral:rRNA from 1 species